rnacentral:rRNA from 1 species
UACGUAGGGUGCGAGCGUUGUCCGGAAUUAUUGGGCGUAAAGAGCUCGUAGGCGGUGUGUCACGUCGGCCGUGAAAACCUGCAGCUUAACUGUGGGCGUGCGGUCGAUACGGGCAUCACUGGAGUUCGGCAGGGGAGACUGGAAUUCCUGGUGUAGCGGUGAAAUGCGCAGAUAUCAGGAGGAACACCGGUGGCGAAGGCGGGUCUCUGGGCCGUAACUGACGCUGAGGAGCGAAAGCAUGGGGGAGCGAACAGG